UACGGAGGGGGCUAGCGUUGUUCGGAAUUAUUGGGCGUAAAGCGCACGUAGGCGGCUUUGUAAGUUAGAGGUGAAAGCCCGGGGCUCAACUCCGGAAUUGCCUUUAAGACUGCAUCGCUAGAAUUGUGGAGAGGUAAGUGGAAUUCCGAGUGUAGAGGUGAAAUUCGUAGAUAUUCGGAAGAACACCAGUGGCGAAGGCGACUUACUGGACACAUAUUGACGCUGAGGUGCGAAAGCGUGGGGAGCAAACAGG
rnacentral:rRNA from 1 species